rnacentral:rRNA from 1 species
UACGUAGGGACCGAGCGUUGUCCGGAAUCAUUGGGCGUAAAGAGCGUGUAGGCGGCUUGCUAAGUCUUGCGUGAAAUCUCGGGGCUCAACCCCGAGCGGUCGUGGGAAACUGGCAGGCUAGAGUGCGGGAGAGGAGAAUGGAAUUCCUGGUGUAGCGGUGAAAUGCGCAGAUAUCAGGAGGAACACCAAUGGCGAAGGCAGCUCGCUGGGACGUGACUGACGCUGAGACGCGAAAGCGUGGGGAGCAAACAGG